CGUAGGGUGCAAGCGUUAAUCGGAAUUACUGGGCGUAAAGCGUGCGCAGGCGGUUAUGUAAGACAGAUGUGAAAUGCCCGGGCUUAACCUGGGAACUGCAUUUGUGACUGCAUGGCUAGAGUGUGUCAGAGGGGGGUAGAAUUCCACGUGUAGCAGUGAAAUGCGUAGAUAUGUGGAGGAAUACCGAUGGCGAAGGCAGCCCCCUGGGAUAACACUGACGCUCAUGCACGAAAGCGUGGGGAGCAAACAGGAUUAGAUACCCUGGUAGUCCACGCCCUAAACGAUGUCGACUAGUUGUCGGGUCUUAAUUGACUUGGUAACGCAGCUAACGCGUGAAGUCGACCGCCUGGGGAGUACGGUCGCAAGAUUA
rnacentral:rRNA from 1 species